UUGAAAGGGAAACGAUUGAAGUCAGUCGUACUGACGGGAAAUCAACCUUUUGGGUGUGAUCUUGUGGAUGCUAGAGAGCUUAACGGCCUCUGUGUUUUCAAGUUUGUGCUCUUGGGCGUAUUUUCUCGUAUAGUAAGUUAACAUCAAUUUCGGUCGUUAUAAAAUGAUCGGAGGAAAGUAGCUUCGAUUUAUCGAAGUGUUAUAGACUCUGGUAGAUGUAACGAUUGGGAUUGAGGAUUGCAACGAAUACCCGUCAGGGCUAUCCGUCUGGCCUCUGAUCUUUACCUUGGUGCCGAAAGCUUGCUUACGGUUAUUGAGGUUGAUGGUCAAAAGGUUAGAACGUGAUUAAAUUUCGUUAAGGAUGUUGACGUA
rnacentral:rRNA from 1 species